rnacentral:lncRNA from 1 species
CGUCACAAAAACUGCCACAGCCAAGAGCCAUUUAUUUAAUUCUGUGCUCAUUGCUUUUUGCUGACAGGGCUGAUAGAAAAGCUGGGGCUAUUUUGCUGCUGUGUUUGCUGAUCAGCUGGUGAGAAGUGCAGAUGAUGGACAGUAUUCAGAUUGGAAAAACUGCUAAUAAGUGGAAAGCAAACUCCAUGGGGACUUCUCUGAAACAAUAUAAUGGAGAAAAAAAUAGCAUUUUUUACAAGUUUUUUUUUUUUAAUGUAUGGAUGUGGAAGGUAUACUUAACUAUAAAUAUUUAAAUAAACAGUUCUCAAAACAAAAUUUAGAAAAAGUGAUCAUUUUGCAUCAUUCAAAGAA